GUAAGGUUGGAAGAUGCCUUAUUUCCAUUUCUCAUUUUGAAUUUGAGAUGAAAUAUGUGUAUUAAUUGGAAGUAUGUCUAUAUGGAGCUUUGGGAAAAUGAUUGCAUCUGUGAAUACACCUGGCUCCAAAAUCAGUUGUUUUGGAAUUAGUAGGUACCAUGUGGUGCUGAUGUCUUUCUUCUCAUGUUUAGUUCUUGUUGUCACAAUUUUGCUCAAUGAUAGUCUUGUUUUUUUCCUCACUUUAUGUUCUAUUUGUGAAGAGAUCGUGAAAUUUUAUGUUUCUUUUUAACUUGUAGGAUAAAUUGGCAUAUUUUCGG
rnacentral:misc_RNA from 1 species